rnacentral:rRNA from 1 species
CACGUAGGCACCAAGCGUUGUCCGGAUUUAUUGGGCGUAAAGAGCUCGUAGGCGGCUCGGUAAGUCGGGUGUGAAAUUUCGAGGCUCAACCUCGAAACGCCACCCGAUACUGCUGUGGCUAGAGUCCGGUAGGGGAGCGUGGAAUUCCUGGUGUAGCGGUGAAAUGCGCAGAUAUCAGGAGGAACACCGGUGGCGAAGGCGGGUCUCUGGGCAGUAACUGACGCUGAGGAGCGAAAGCAUGGGGAGCGAACAGG